GGCUAUUGGUGACAAGUUCAUCCGUGAGAUGCUAUGUUUGUGAUGUGAUGCAUUCCAUGAGAGCAUGUAAUGAAUGAACUGUUUUAUUGUUCCUACUCACUGGGCUAUAGAGCUCAUCCCACUCCCUUAACCCCAGUUUUGCAGGUUCUGAGAUAGCUAUGGGAAAUCAGAGUCAGCAAGAGUAAAGAAAGAUAUGCAUGAAUGUAUGUUUGUAAUAGCGUAGUGGACAUGAUGUAAAUAAAAGAUUAGUUGUAAUGUAAUGUAUAGACAUGUACUGUCAU
rnacentral:lncRNA from 1 species